GGCGAGCGAAGCGGGAAGAGCUCAAAUUUGAAAGCUGGCACCUCCGGUGUCCGCGUUGUAAUUUCGAGACGUGUUUUCCGCGUGGCGCCAUGGACAAGUUCCCUGGAAUGGGACAUCGUAGAGGGUGAAAAUCCCGUACUUGCCAUGGACGUACCAUGCUUUGCGAUACACGCUCCAAGAGUCGAGUAGUUUGGGAUUGCUGCUCAAAAUGGGUGGUAGACUCCAUCUAAAGCUAAAUAUCGGGGAGAGACCGAUAGCGAACAAGUACCGUGAGGGAAAGAUGAAAAGCACUUUGGAAAGAGAGUUAAAAGUACGUGAAAUUGUCGAAAUGGAAGCGCUUGAAGUCAGCCAUGCGGCUGGGGACUCACCUUGGCGUCUCGCUGAGGGUAUUUCUCCAGUAGCAAGUCAGCAUUGGUUUGCGGCGCCGGAGAAGGGUACAGGGAAGGUGGCACCUUCGGGUGUGUUAUAGCCCUGGACUGGAUACGGAAGAG
rnacentral:rRNA from 1 species